GUUGGGUGUCCGUGGUCAAUAAGGGGUGCACGACGGACAGGGCCUACGAUUGGUCGUUAUGCCUUGUCCAUUUAGAAAAAUCCUAAAAUUUUAGCUUGCUAAUUCAAGACAAGGGUAAAAUUGUUCAAGAAGGAUCUAAACGCUAAAUUGAAAGAUUGAAGGCGUAAAUGCUACAAUUAGGAGAUUGUGGCCCAAGUUAGAGAUCUCUGCUACCAUUUCCCUGAAAAGAUUUUUAUAAGCUACUUAUAAGCAUAGCCAAACACGUUCUUUGGCCUUUGCACCCCACUUACGAACAGACGACAACCUUAAACAUAGAAUUUACUCUGGUCUUCGGUAGUCCCUGCCCUUUAACAAUGGAUCCUCAACCUGAACCAGUAAGCUACAUCUGUGGAGGUACAUCUUAACAUACAUGGAUGGAUAUUGAAUGUGUAAUUUUUCUGUCUGUUUUUAGAUGAUUUAAUAAUGUUAAAAUGAUUUCACAGAUUGCAGCCAAGAGAACACGCUGAAGCCAGGCGACGUUAUUCAAUGCCGCGAGUGCGGUUAUCGUAUCCUCUACAAGAAACGUACCCGAAGAAGUAAAUUUUCAAUACCCAUUUAUUUGGCCUCUUUGAAUAUAUACAGUAGUUUUAUGAUUUAUUAAUGCUGAAUUAGCUGGGUACUUAUUUUAAUAUCUUGUUUCUUCUCGUUUUAGUGAUGGGUUGAAUCUGAAAGAUUCUUGGGCCAUUAUGAAAAUGUUUUGGAAUCGAAUAAUUUGUUCAAUUUGUUUAUUUUUGCAAACUUAUACUCAAUUUGACGUAUUUUAAUGAUUUUCUUUUAGCAGUGAUCGAGUGAAAGCUUCUAAUUAAUUUUUUGUGGUGUCCAAUAGUAGCUUGUUUGAUCAAAAGUGACUGAAACUUUGGUUUCGUUGGGUUCUUUAUGGAAGAUUAGUAAAUUCCUGAUAAAUACGAAUAAAUGGAUUACAUUUUUGGCAUGUGUAUUCGAGAUUAGAAGUAUAUUGAUAUUUUCUUCUUCUAGUUCAUGGUUCGAAUCCAGUGAACGCACUGAUUAGCCUCUUCAUUUGUACGGAUUCAAACUUCCGCUUCAUAUGGGGCGAUUACCUGUUAUAAAAAAUCUUAUGGAUGCAAAAAGAAGGAAAGAAAAGGAAAAUGAUUCAAUUUUUUAAGUUGAAGGAGGAUAAUGCAGGCGAAUUCCACUAACGUUCAGUUUGAAGUUUGUCAUAUUUUUAAUUUCAUCUCAAAUUCAGCUCGUGAAAAGUGUGUUCUAGCUUGACUUGAAUAUAAGAUUGAGCAUUUCUUUGGACUUUUUUAUGGUCUUAAUGGAACUUGGGCAACCAAAAGCUCAACCCGAGUCGGUUCGCUUACAACCUAAGAGCAUCUUCAAGAAACUCUCUAAACACAAUAUACUCUCUAUCUUACAUAGCCAAUGCUUAAAAUUGAGCUCGAAAAGACUCUUUAUGUCUUUUUUAAAAUAGAGAGUAGGUUUGGUUAUUCUUUAAUGUCCAAUGAUUGCAUUCAAUACAUUACAAAUUUCAAUUUUCUAUGAUUUAAAUUAUUCAAAUUACAUUUGAAUUGAUUGGACAUUGACAUACAAAAAAAUAACGUAAAAUAAGAUGUUUUUAUUAUGCAUAAAAUGUAUUUUAUAAAUAGACAAUCUCUUGAAGAUGCUCUGAUUGGAUUAGCAGAUUAUUUCAAGCGGGUUAUAUAUUAGCAAUCAUCUUAGAACUUUUCUGCUCGAGAAAUAGUUAAAAUUAUAAAGAUAUUGCUUUGCUUUACAAGGCUUGGACAUUAUUUUUGUACUGGUUCGACCUUUGUUGCAUGUUAAACUAUGGUUCACCCUUUAUGUGAUUUUAGUUGAUUGUGCAUUCAAUUGUUUCAACUAUUCUUAAGUAUUCUCUUUGGUAGUAAUAGUAUCAACUACUUACGAAUAAAAUUUUCUGCUGCAGUUGUCCAAUACGAAGCUCGUUGAAGCUGCUUCUGAUGGUCCAAAAGCAUAAUUCAGGUGAGGUGAGACUAAGGGUGUCUUCCAUAAUUAUACAAGAUGUUGGUGGAUGCUUUAUAUAUUUCUCAGAAUUGUUAGUUAUAUUGUCAACUUGUCUUGGUCUGGCGUGAUUUUAUCAUGACUCUUCUGUAUGGUACAAAUGAUGGUCAAUCUACACUUGUCUAGAAAAUCUUUUUCCUUGUUCACUAAUAAAUGGACUAAACUCAUGUUUCAUAUUAUGUUGUGACGCUCGUUUGGAGUAUAAAAACUCUCCAUUUUCAUUGAAAUCAGUUUGUCAUCUUUGGAAUGCUUGCCGAGUAAAGGCUUCUAUGCCCUGAAAGUUUGAUUUGCAAGGUUACGUUAUUGUUUAGUAAAUACAGAUGGAAAUAGCUGUGUCGUGCCCUGUAUGUAGAUUUUAACUGGACAAAGCUUCCUUGGUUACUAGAGGUAUAAACCAGACUGGACCGCUAGUUGGCCCGGGGCUUCAAUGGUUG
rnacentral:lncRNA from 1 species